rnacentral:lncRNA from 10 species
GGACACGAUCUGACUCCUAUAAGGGCCAUAUUCAAAAAGUGGUGAUUGCAUCCUUUGAAAGCCUGUUUGCAUAGCAGACAAUGAAGCUGAGCAGAGAAAAACAAGAUGAGAGACAGAUGGAGUAGGAGACCUGAGAAGAUGGCUUGAGUCCAUGAAUUCUGGUGUUCCCUAGGCCACAUUUGCCCCCAUCCUUCCCAGGUUAGACUUCUCCUAUGGAGAAUGCAGCAAGAAAAUACCAUCUUGAAGCAGAGAGCAGCGCUCAUCAGGCAUCAGUCCUUCUGGAGCCUUGAUCUUGGACCUCCCAGCUCCAAAAUAAUAAGUAAUAAAUUGUUAUUGCUUAUAAAUU